ensembl:lncRNA
CAGCAAGCCUGGCCCUUUAAUGUACAUGGAUAGUAACAUGCAUGUCAAUCUCUCAUGGCUCAAAGUAGAGGAGAGAUGGAAUUCAUCACUACUUGUUUUUUUUAAAGAAGUAUUGACAAGCUGAAUGCACCGAGCUGUCUGUUUAAACCACUAGCACACAGCUCAGACACCCACACAUACCCCACAAUACAUGCCACCAGAGGUCUCUUCAUAGUCACCAAGUCAAGAACAGACUAUGGGAGGCGCACAGUACUACAUAGAGCCAUGACUACAUGGAACUAUAUUCCACAUCAAUACCUAUAUAAGAAUGCUGUUCAUUGACUACAGCUCAGCCUUCGACACCUUCGACACCAUAGUACCCUCCAAGCUCAUCAUUAAGCUCGGGCCCUGGGCCUGAACCCUGGACUUCCUGAUGGGCCGCCCCUUGGUGGUGAAGGUAGGAAACAAUAUGUCCACUACGCUGAUCCUCAACACAUGAGCCCCUCCUGAACUCCCUGUUCACCAAUGACUGCGUGGCCACGCACGCCUCCAACUCAACCAUCAAGUUUGCAGACGACAUAACUGUGGUAGGCCUGAUUACCAACAAUGACGAGCAGUCGACAGGGAGGAGGUGAGGGCCCUGGGAGUGAGGUGAGGGCCCUGGGAGUGAGGUGAGGGCCCUGGGAGUGAGGUGAGGGCCCUGGGAGUGAGGUGAGGGCCCUGGGAGUGAGGUGAGGGCCCUCGGAGUGAGGUGAGGGCCCUCGGAGUUGUCCCAGGUAAAUAACCUCCCUCAACAUCAACAAAACAAAGGAGUUGAUUGUGGACUUCAGGAGACAGCAGAGGGAGCACCCCCCCCAACCCACAUCAAUGGGACAGUAGUGGAGAAGGUGAAAAAAAUUCUAGUUCCUCGGCGUACACAUCACUGACAGUCUGAAAUGGUUCACCCACACAGAGAGUGUGGUGAAGGAGAUUAACCAGCGCCUCUUCAACCGGAGGAGGCUGAAGAAAUUUGUUUUGGCCCAUAAGACCCUCACAAACUUUUACAGAUGCACCACUGAGAGCAUCCUGUCGGGCUGUAUCACCACCUGGUAUGGCAACUGCACCGCAAGCAAACGAGGGGUUUCCAGAGGGUGGUGUGGUCUGCCCAAUGUAUCACCGGGGGCAAACUACCUGCCCUCCAGGACACCUACAGCACCCGAUGUCACAGCCAAAAAGAUCAUCAAGGACAACAACCACCCGAGCCACUGACUGUUCACACUGCCACCAUACAGAAG